CUCAUCACCCCACCCACCUCUCCCACUCGCUCCUACCCUACCCCGCGCCGCCGGCGCCCGCCACCCCGCCGGCGCCCGCCGCCCGCUCGUCGUCCGGUUGCCGCCGCCCUCGCGCCAGGAGGAGCACUGGCCCCCCGACGAGCACGCGCUAGCGGAGUCCAUCAAGCGCCGGCUCGCCGCCUCCGGCCGCCCCGACGACGCGCUCGCCUUCGCCGACCUCCACUCCAAGCUCUCCGCCCGGUCGCGCCCGGCCGACCUCUGGGCGCUACUCUACCUGCUCGACUCGCUCUCCUCCCAUCGCCGCGCCGCCGCCGCUGUGACUGCUCGCCGACCUACAUCUCCGGCUCCGCCUCUCUUCCGCUUCGACUUCGCCUCGUGAGGCGGCUCCAGGUUUGCUCUCAUGAUUGUAGACGGUGCCACAGCAAGGCAAAUGCUAAGUUCUUGAGGAGCCUCCAGAAGGUGUAGCAGACGUCAAGGAUUGAGAUGAAUAGAUCAUCUGUCUCAGCUUACUACAGAGCAUGUUUUUCUUCUACUUUGUCUGUAAUUUGUAUAAAGCAACAACAGAAUACAAAUAUAUGACUUGAGAUAAAUAGAUCAUCUGUAUUUAGUAUUUUGAAUAUACGGCCACAAGGCCCUUUUUUGGUAGAGCCAGAGUUAUGUUCUGAAUGCAGGAGUUUGUUCAUUUGACAGAAAUA